rnacentral:rRNA from 1 species
UACGGGAGGCAGCAGUGAGGAAUAUUGGUCAAUGGUCGAGAGACUGAACCAGCCAAGUAGCGUGAAGGAUGACUGCCCUACGGGUUGUAAACUUCUUUUAUGCGGGAAUAAAGUGUGGCACGUGUGCCAUUUUGUAUGUACCGCAUGAAUAAGCAUCGGCUAAUUCCGUGCCAGCAGCCGCGGUAAU